rnacentral:rRNA from 1 species
UGAGGAAUAUUGGUCAAUGGGCGAGAGCCUGAACCAGCCAAGUAGCGUGAAGGAUGACUGCCCUAUGGGUUGUAAACUUCUUUUAUAAAGGAAUAAAGUCGGGUAUGGAUACCCGUUUGCAUGUACUUUAUGAAUAAGGAUCGGCUAACUCCGUGCCAGCAGCCGCGGUAAUACGGAGGAUCCGAGCGUUAUCCGGAUUUAUUGGGUUUAAAGGGAGCGUAGAUGGAUAUUUAAGUCAGUUGUGAAAGUUUGCGGCUCAACCGUAAAAUUGCAGUUGAUACUGGAUAUCUUGAGUGCAGUUGAGGCAGGCGGAAUUCGUGGUGUAGCGGUGAAAUGCUUAGAUAUCACGAAGAACUCCGAUUGCGAAGGCAGCCUGCUAAGCUGCAACUGACAUUGAGGCUCGAAAGUGUGGGUAUCAAACAGGAUUAGAUACCCUGGUAGUCCACACGGUAAACGAUGAAUACUCGCUGUUUGCGAUAUACUGCAAGCGGCCAAGCGAAAGCGUUAAGUAUUCCACCUGGGGAGUACGCCGGCAACGGUGAAACUCAAAGGAAUUGACGGGGGCCCGCACAAGCGGAGGAACAUGUGGUUUAAUUCGAUGAUACGCGAGGAACCUUACCCGGGCUUAAAUUGCAGAUGAAUUACGGUGAAAGCCGUAAGCCGCAAGGCAUCUGUGAAGGUGCUGCAUGGUUGUCGUCAGCUCGUGCCGUGAGGUGUCGGCUUAAGUGCCAUAACGAGCGCAACCCUUGUUGUCAGUUACUAACAGGUUUUGCUGAGGACUCUGACAAGACUGCCAUCGUAAGAUGUGAGGAAGGUGGGGAUGACGUCAAAUCAGCACGGCCCUUACGUCCGGGGCUACACACGUGUUACAAUGGGGGGUACAGAGGGCCGCUACCACGCGAGUGGAUGCCAAUCCCAAAAACCUCUCUCAGUUCGGACUGGAGUCUGCAACCCGACUCCACGAAGCUGGAUUCGCUAGUAAUCGCGCAUCAGCCACGGCGCGGUGAAUACGUUCCC